UACGUAGGGUGCGAGCGUUAAUCGGAAUUACUGGGCGUAAAGCGUGCGCAGGCGGCGCGUUAAGACAGGUGUGAAAGCCCCGAGCUUAACUUGGGAAUUGCGCUUGUGACUGGCGAGCUGGAGUGUGGCAGAGGGGGGUGGAAUUCCGCGUGUAGCAGUGAAAUGCGUAGAGAUGCGGAGGAACACCGAUGGCGAAGGCAGCCCCCCUGGGCUAACACUGACGCUGAGGCACGAAAGCGUGGGGAGCAAACAGG
rnacentral:rRNA from 1 species